UGUAAACGCAUAAAUGUCUGAGGAAUAAUAUUAUUAAUCUCCAUUCAAACAGAACUGCUGUGAAGCGCACCCCAUUUUUGGGUAGCAAAAUUAUGUUUUUUCUCUUAGGUUUCUUGUUAGUUGUCCAGUAAAACACUUCAAAAACCAGCCAAGUACUUAAGCCGCCAUAGGCGCCAGCUAAAAUUAAACUUACGCGGAGAAUUGUCCAUGUAGCGGAAAGUGUGCGAAACUUCUUUCUUCUUAUGCACUUCACAUUUGCAAAUGGUGUCCGAUUUGGAGAUGCUGAUGGAAGUGGAAUUUUGCUUUCCCAUUUUGUAUGGUUGGGCGUGGAACCGUCUUCUGUAAUCUGAGUUCUCAUCUUCUCAAUGGAAGCAUGGCUUGGGACCACAGUUCUUUUAUAGGAUGUUGGACUUGUAUUCUUGUCAACCUAAGAACAGAAACAAUAUUCAUCAUAAAGAGAUUGUCACAUAAUUUUGGAUUUCGGACGUGCGAAUUCUGUUAGUUAUUGGCUAAGUUUUUUCCUGUCUCCCUAACAAGAUCAACAACAAUUAAAUUCAUUGUUAGUUUCACAUACCACGUAAUCUAAAACAAGGCUUUUAUCUGCU